AGUGAACGCCGGCGGUAGGCCUAACACAUGCAAGUCGAACGGCAGCACAGGAGAGCUUGCUCUCUGGGUGGCGAGUGGCGGACGGGUGAGGAAUACAUCGGAAUCUACUUUUUCGUGGGGGAUAACGUAGGGAAACUUACGCUAAUACCGCAUACGACCUACGGGUGAAAGCAGGGGAUCUUCGGACCUUGCGCGAUUGAAUGAGCCGAUGUCGGAUUAGCUAGUUGGCGGGGUAAAGGCCCACCAAGGCGACGAUCCGUAGCUGGUCUGAGAGGUGGAUCAGCCGAACUGGAACAAUGACAUGUCCCAGCCGACUACGGGAGGCAGCAGUGGGGAAUAUUGGACAAUGGGGGCUAGCCUGAUCCAGCCAGACCGCGUGGGUGAAGAAGGCCUUCGGGUUGAAAAGCCCUUUUGUCGGGAAAGAAAUCCAGCUGGGUAAUACCCGGUUGGGAUGACGGUACCCAAAGAAUAAGCACCGGCUAACUUCGUGCCAGCCGCCGCCGUAA
rnacentral:rRNA from 1 species